rnacentral:rRNA from 1 species
GACGAGCCACCCGAACGUUAUUCGGAAUUACUGGGCUUAAAGGGUGCGUAGGCGGUGUAGCAAGUCGGGAGUGAAAGCCCUCGGCUCAACCGAGGAAUAGCGCUUGAUACUGUAAGGCUUGAGGGAGACAGGGGGUAAGCGGAACUGAUGGUGGAGCGGUGAAAUGCGUUGAUAUCAUCAGGAACACCGGUGGCGAAAGCGGCUUACUGGGUCUCUUCUGACGCUGAGGAACGAAAGCUAGGGUAGCGAACGGG